rnacentral:rRNA from 1 species
CAAUAGCGUAUAUUAAAGUUGUUGCAGUUAAAAAGCUCGUAGUUGGAUUUCUGAUCGAGACAUCAGGUCGGGUCCGAGAGGAUCAUGUACUUUGAUUUUGUUUUGAUCAUCCUUGGGGAGAGCAUUUCUGGCAUUCAGUUGUCGGGAUUGGGAUCCUCAUCGUUUACUGUGAAAAAACUAGAGUGUUCAAAGCAGGCCUCGGCCUCUGAAUACAUUAGCAUGGAAUAAUAAGAUAGGACUUUGGUGGUCUAUUUUGUUGGUUUGCACGCCAAAGUAAUGAUUAAUAGGGAUAGUUGGGGGUAUUCGUAUUCAAUUGUCAGAGGUGAAAUUCUUGGAUUUAUGGAAGACGAACUACUGCGAAAGCAUUUACCAAGGAUGUUUUCAUUAA